rnacentral:misc_RNA from 1 species
GAUGACAAGCUCGGCCGUAUUCUGUGAGUAAUUGUUGUACUCGUAUUUCUGUUGUCUUUUAAUAUUGAUACAAAUAUACCUCAAAUGAAGAUUAUUAUUUGUAACUUAAUUUGUCAAAAUCAACGAAAAAAUAUAUCACUGGGAAGAAUCUCACGACAUCUAUUAUGGCCUUCACUUCAGUCCACGAAUCUAAAAGAUGCCUUUCUCACCAGUAGCAGGUCUACUAUGAUAUCUUGAUACAAAAGAAAAAGGUGGAGAGCAGCGGUUACAGCAUUUUCAAUAGCUGCAUCUGGCUAACAGCAGAAAGAAUAUUAGGAUAUGGUUUUAAAAUAAGCAGACAAGUUUUCACUGACUUAUUUUAAGUAGUAUAACUAAUCACUACUCAACUUAUAACUUUCUAUUAAUUUUAUACUAAUAAGUAGGUUUGACCAACUAAUAAGCCAGACCAAACAGCUUCUGAACCAGAAACUUUUUUAUUUUUCUUUUUAAUUUCAAGAGAAUUCAGGGUAUGGUAGGUCUUUAACCCAC